rnacentral:rRNA from 1 species
UACGAGGGGUGCAAGCGUUGCUCGGAAUUAUUGGGCGUAAAGGGUAGGUAGGUGGUCUCGUUUGUCUGGGGUGAAAGCCUUGGGCUUAACUCAAGAAGUGCCCCAGAAACGGCGAGACUAGAGUAUUGGAGAGGGUCGUGGAAUUCCCGGUGUAGCGGUGAAAUGCGUAGAUAUCGGGAAGAACACCCGUGGCGAAGGCGGUUCUCUGGGACGGUACUGACGCUGAGACGCGAAAGCGUGGGGAGCGAACAGG